rnacentral:lncRNA from 1 species
CUGUUUUGCACAAAAGAGAUACAAAUAGCUUUCCUUCUAUUACGUGGAAGCAGUUAAUUUCCAUCUAAUUUCUCAUCUCUCACGUUCAUGAAUUUUGUGUGCAGAUUCCUGGAUCGCCAUCUCUCUCGAUCUCUGGAGCGGCCGCUGCAUGGCCUACUAGAAGCAUCUGAUCAUCAUCUCUCUCACAUCUUAAGGGUGGAGGCAUGCAUGGAUGUGGUGCAGCGGCAUGCCGAAUAUAGGGCCAAACCCUAGAGCUUCUGGUCCAACUGGGGUCCUAUCCUUUGCCAUGCCCACCGGUACUGCCAUAAUAUGUACUUCUGAAUCAUGCUAAUUAACCUGACCAUGUAAGCUGCCGCGCACAUCAAGAUCCAUCAAUAAAUCAAAGAAGAGUUCCUUCAGCCUCCUACUCCAUGCCAUGGGUUCGCCAUUGCAG